UAAUACGUAGGAUGCAAGCGUUGUCCGGAAUUAUUGGGCGUAAAGAGCGAGCAGGCGGCUUGUCAAGUCAGUUGUGAAAUUUUAGGGCUUAACCCUAAAGGGUCAACUGAAACUGGCAAGCUAGAGUGCAGGAGAGGAAAGCGGAAUUCCCGGUGUAGUGGUGAAAUGCGUAGAUAUCGGGAGGAACACCAGAGGCGAAGGCGGCUUUCUGGCCUGUAACUGACGCUGAGGCGCGAAGGCUGGGGUAGCGAACAGGAUUAGAUACCCUGGUAGUCCCAGCAGUAAACGAUGGACACUAGGUGUGCGGGGAAAUUGACCCCCUGCGUGCCGGAGCAAACGCAAUAAGUGUCCCGCCUGGGGAGUACGGUCGCAAGAUU
rnacentral:rRNA from 1 species